CCUACGGGUGACAGCAGUGAGGAAUAUUGGUCAAUGGGCGAGAGCCUGAACCAGCCAAGUCGCGUGAAGGAUGACGGCCCUACGGGUUGUAAACUUCUUUUGUCAGGGAGCAAUUGAGUCCACGUGUGGGCUUAGCGAGAGUACCUGAAGAAAAAGCAUCGGCUAACUCCGUGCCAGCAGCCGCGGUAAUACGGAGGAUGCGAGCGUUAUCCGGAUUUAUUGGGUUUAAAGGGUGCGUAGGCGGGGAUGCAAGUUGGGUGUUAAAUCUACCGGCUCAACUGGUAGUCGCACUCAAAACUGCAGCUCUUGAGUGAAGUAGAGGCAGGCGGAAUUCCUAGUGUAGCGGUGAAAUGCGUAGAUAUUAGGAGGAACACCAGUGGCGAAGGCGGCCUGCUGGGCUUUUACUGACGCUGAGGCUCGAAAGUGUGGGGAGCAAGCAGGAUUAGAUACCCUUGUAGUC
rnacentral:rRNA from 1 species